GCAGAUUCUAAAGUAUUUAAAUGCAGCUGACAGAUAUCAAUUGUGUGAUCUGAGUCACAUGCACCAACGAGACUGACCGAAUAUCAAACGGGAGUCACCCAGGCGACUCCAGACUAACUCUGACUGGAAGUGAACAAAAGUCUCCAGGCUUCAGGUUUGAGAAGAUUGGACAAAGGAGACACCUGUCUACACACUUAUUACCCCAGAGACGUUCACUUGAUACGCUGCUCACUAAUAGUCGUGUGACAGACUAUACCUCCCCCUCCACUGAAUAGAACAAAAGUUUGAGUACCUGGCAAUAUCUCCCCUUCCACCGACUAGGACAAAAGAGGACUACCUGGCAAUAUCCUGUUUAUUCUCCCACUGAGGCUUGUUUAAUUAAAAAUAAACACCUCUUUAUGGUCCAAGGUCGCCAUUACAGUUGGUGUUCUAUUGUACGUGAUUGAAAGCCCUUUGUGUGUACUUUACUUUGUUUACUGACUUUUGUGUCCCCCCCUGUUUCUAG
rnacentral:lncRNA from 1 species